CAUCAGUUCAGCUUCAACAUCAACCAUGUUCUCUGUAGCUCUGAUACUGCUGCUGGUAGCUGCAUCCUGUGUGAACAGUAUUGACCUCAAGCAGCCAGAAUCCAUGGUUGUGCAGCCUGGACAGUCUUUGACCAUCACCUGUCAGGUCUCUGGUUAUUCUCUGACUGAUAGCAGCUAUGCAACAGGUUGGGUCAGACAGCGUGAAGGAAAACCAAUGGACUGGAUUAUGCAUCGCUGGGGUGGAGGUGGCUUGGAUCAGAAUAAUGCUCUGAAGAACAAGUCCCUUUACCAAACAUACACUUCUAGCAUUCUGUGUCAUUAA